rnacentral:rRNA from 1 species
GACGAACGCUGGCGGCGUGCCUAAUACAUGCAAGUAGAACGCACAGUUUAUACCGUAGCUUGCUACACCAUAGACUGUGAGUUGCGAACGGGUGAGAACGCGUAGGUAACCUGCCUGGUAGCGGGGGAUAACUAUUGGAAACGAUAGCUAAUACCGCAUAAUAUUAAUUAUUGCAUGAUAAUUAAUUGAAAGGUGCAAUUGCACCACUACCAGAUGGACCUGCGUUGUAUUAGCUAGUAGGUGAGGUAACGGCUCACCUAGGCGACGAUACAUAGCCGACCUGAGAGGGUGAUCGGCCACACUGGGACUGAGACACGGCCCAGACUCCUACGGGAGGCAGCAGUAGGGAAUCUUCGGCAAUGGACGAAAGUCUGACCGAGCAACGCCGCGUGAGUGAAGAAGGUUUUCGGAUCGUAAAGCUCUGUUGUAAGAGAAGAACGGGUGUGAGAGUGGAAAGUUCACACUGUGACGGUAUCUUACCAGAAAGGGACGGCUAACUACGUG